GAUAAGGUGAUGUGUGUGAGCCAGC
rnacentral:piRNA from 1 species